rnacentral:lncRNA from 1 species
CUCAUUUCCCUCCUUCCCAUGAAGCAUCCGUUUGCUCGCCGAUAAGAGGGAACUAGAGGAAGAGAGUAAUAACCACUGAGUGAGGACCGAAGAUGGAGAAAGGUGACCAGGCUUCCGACUGUGACAGUGAUGAAACAGUGAUUGAGGGGUCGGUGACAGAGAACGAACUGGAAGAUGAUGAGCUUCCCUGGAGAAGGUUCUUGAGUCAAGAUACAACUUUUACAUCUGAGUUCUGUUUUCAUUCUGGUAUAAAUGGAACACAGAAUGGUAUGCAUUCUCCUGAGAUUCAACUUGGACUGAAACUCAGAAAGGAUUCACAAGAGCAAAAUGAUAAAAAUGAGGUGUUGCGGGCUCUUAGUGAGGACCUAGUGUUACAGGUACGGCUGUGUUGUUUGAACAUACACCUAUCAAAAGCU